CCGUACAUCUUCCUGAAGUGCAUCGUUAAACUGGAAUUCCAGACCUUCCAAGUGUCCCUAUUUUUCAGGGACAGUCCUGGAUUUACAGAAGUCACCCUAGUUUCUGAUUUGAUCUCAGGUUGGGGGGCGGGGAAAGGAUAGCGGGAUCUAAGAAAUUUGCUAUAGGGACGUAUGGAUCUGAAAUUCCAAUACCAUGCUGAAACGCUGUACAGUGGUACCUCAGGUUACAUACGCUUCAGGUUACAUACGCUUCAGGUAAAGACUCUGCUAACCCAGAAAUAGUGCUUCAGGUUAAGAACUUUGCUUCAGGAUCAGAACAGAAAUUGUGCAGCGGCGGUGCAGGGACAGCUGGAGGCCCCAUUAGCUAAAGUGGUGCUUCAGGUUAAGAACAGUUUCAGGUUAAGUACGGACCUCCGGAACGAAUUAAGUACUUAACCUGAGGUACCACUGUACUGGAGGAAAGGCCCCUUGGGAAUUUGGGACUCUGCAUGAAAAAGUGUGGAGCAGUGGUGGCUUCAAGGUUUUCAUGACAAUCCCGGCAUUUUCAGGGCAGUUGGAGGAUAUGAUAUGGAUGUCAGAAGGUAGAUAGCUUGGAAGCUACUGUGUUAGGCUUGGUCCUCCCCCUCCCCGAUGGGGCUGCUGAUGGUAGGGACCAUUUUGUGCUCCUGUUUUUGUUUUGUUUUUCUCUCUUUCAGAUGCAGCAGCCAUUCUGUAUUCUGCCACUUCCCGCACAGCAGCCAUUUUGUGACUGGCGCCCACGCCACCCUCUCAAAAUCCAUAAUGUGUCCAGUGGCCCCAAGCUUGAACCUGGACCGAGGCCUUCAUAAAAUGUAUCUUCAAAGGUUUUCCAUCUUUUAUCUUGCCAUGAGUUCUGGUCCAAGAAUACAGCUGAGAUGGUAGCCUUGGGCCCCUCAAAUAAAUGACAGGCUUCCUUCCUGUAUUUUCUGAGCUUUCCCAAGGAUAGGAGUCAGUUUUUAAGCCUGAAAGGUGUGUUGGCUCCCUCGGCCAAUAAAGCAAGAUGAGCGCCGCAACCCCAGAGUCCUCUGCGACUGGACCUAAUGGUCAGGGAUCCCUUUCCCUUUUAAAAUCAGAAAUAUAUAGCAAAAUGUGUGAGAGGAAUUCUACCAAAGUUCCUCAGGAGGAAUGAAGCCAC